GAUGAACGCUGGCGGCGUGCCUAACACAUGCAAGUCGAGCGAACCCCUUCGGGGGAGAGCGGCGGACGGGUGAGUAACGCGUGGGUAACCUACCCUGUACACACGGAUAACAUACCGAAAGGUAUACUAAUACGUGAUGACAUAUCGGACAGGCAUCUGUCAGAUAUCAAAGGUCAGCCGGUGCAGGAUGGACCCGCGUCUGAUUAGCUAGUUGGUGAGAUAAAAGCUCACCAAGGCGACGAUCAGUAGCCGACCUGAGAGGGUGAUCGGCCACAUUGGAACUGAGACACGGUCCAAACCCCUACGGGAGGCAGCAGUGGGGAAUAUUGCACAAUGGGCGAAAGCCUGAUGCAGCAACGCCGCGUGAGUGAUGAAGGUUUUCGGAUCGUAAAACUCUGUCCUCAAGGAAGAUAAUGACGGUACUUGAGGAGGAAGCCCCGGCUAACUACGUGCCAGCAGCCGCGGUAAUACGUAGGGGGCUAGCGUUAUCCGGAUUUACUGGGCGUAAAGGGUGCGUAGGCGGUCUUUCAAGUCAGAAGUUAAAUUCUACGGCUCAACCGUAGCCAGCUUUUGAAACUGGAAGACUUGAGUGC
rnacentral:rRNA from 1 species